GAUGAACGCUGGCGGCGUGCCUAAUACAUGCAAGUCGAGCGAACAGACGAGGAGCUUGCUCCUCUGACGUUAGCGGCGGACGGGUGAGUAACACGUGGAUAACCUACCUAUAAGACUGGGAUAACUUCGGGAAACCGGAGCUAAUACCGGAUAAUAUAUUGAACCGCAUGGUUCAAUAGUGAAAGACGGUUUUGCUGUCACUUAUAGAUGGAUCCGCGCCGCAUUAGCUAGUUGGUAAGGUAACGGCUUACCAAGGCAACGAUGCGUAGCCGACCUGAGAGGGUGAUCGGCCACACUGGAGCUGAGACACGGUCCAGACUCCUACGGGAGGCAGCAGUAGGGACUCUUCCGCAAUGGGCGAAAGCUUGACGGAGCAACGCCGCGUGAGUGAUGAAGGUCUUCGGCUCGUAAAACUCUGUUAUUAGGGAAGAACAAAUGUGUAAGUAACUAUGCACGUCUUGACGGUACCUAAUCAGAAAGCCACGGCUAACUACGUG
rnacentral:rRNA from 1 species